CUACGGGGGGCAGCAGUGAGGAAUAUUGCACAAUGGGGGGAACCCUGAUGCAGCAACGCCGCGUGGAGGAUGACGCAUUUCGGUGUGUAAACUCCUUUUAUAUGUCAAGAAAAUGACGGUAGCAUAUGAAUAAGCACCGGCUAACUCACGUGCCAGCAGCCGACGGUAAUACGGAGGGUGCAAGCGUUACUCGGAAUCACUGGGCGUAAAGGACGCGUAGGCGGGUUGGAAAGUCAGGUGUGAAAUCCUACAGCUUAACUGUAGAACUGCACUUGAAACUUCUAAUCUAGAGUAUGGGAGGGAGAGAUGGAAUUAGUGGUGUAGGGGUAAAAUCCGUAGAUAUCACUAGGAAUACCGAAGGCGAAGGCGAUCUCCUGGAACAUUACUGACGCUAAGGCGUGAAAGCGUGGGGGGCAAACAGGAUUAGAUACCCGAGUAGUC
rnacentral:rRNA from 1 species